AUAAUGUUAUAGCUUGAUUUUGCCUCUUUCUUUUUAACGUGUGUACAAUUUAUCUCAGUAGCAUAUAGUAUGUUGAUUAAUUAAUUAAUUAAUUAAUUAAGCUGUUGAUUUUUGUUGAUUAAGCUGUUGAUUUUUGUUAAGAAUCUGGAUUGCAUUUGAAUGUACUGUGGAAUUACAUGUAUACGAGUUGUUGAGCUAACAAGUCUUAGCUUAUUUUUCUCCUAAAGCACAUUAAUUAUUUAUGUGACAAAAGUUUAUAUCUCAAAAAUAGAUGCAGUCAAUAGCAGUCCUGAAAUUCGUCAAUUUCUUAUAAUUUGGAUGAUGUUAAUUGCCGUGUUAGUUAUUCACAUAAAUAAACUGAUGCAGAUGCAAAGGAGGCAAACCCAGGCAAUCAGCCUGAUUGAUGAAUUUUGUCAAUCAGUUGCUUUUUGUGGGCCCCCCCUUGCCAAAUAAAUUAAUUUUAUACUACUAUUCGGUUUUGAAGACGUUAGUAACUCUAACGUCUGUUUCUUUUUUUUUUUUUUUUUUUUUUUUUAAAGAAAUUUAUUAACAUCUUCUCCAAUCUUCCACCCCAACACCGUCAUAGUCACCAUCACUCCGACCACCAUCCGAAACCCAUCACAGCCACCACCAUAUUUACGCCUUCCGCCGAACGAACCCAGAAAGCCUGAGAUCUUCGUCCUCGCUCUUCUUCAGUUCUUCCCGUCGUCCUCUUCUUCCCAAUAAUGGCAGCUUCGCGGCGAAACUAAAAGACACCCUACUUGAAUAGAGUGUAAAUUAGGGCCAUAUCAACUCUUUAGGGAAAGCAUUUCAUUUGCGGCGACAUUUUAAACUGCCAUAUAAGGUGGGUUUUUGCGGAAUUUCAGAAUUGGGUGAUGGGUUUUGGAGCUUGAGUUCCAUAGAAAUGGAGGUUGAGAGAAAUUGGGGGUUGAAUUGAGUGGUAAUUGUGGUAAUUAAGGGAGUGAGAAUGAAGAUGAUGAUGAUGAUGAGGUUAAUCAAGCUUUCAUGGUGGUUGUUACUUGUUAGGAUUGGAAGCUGAAAUUCUGGGUUUUGAGUGAUCGAUUACUCCCAUUCGCAUUUUUAUUUAAUUUUUUGGGUUGUUGUUGGAGUGCUUGUUGAUUGAUUUUAAUGGAAGGAGGAGGAGGUGGAUUUGCAGGGAGUGGGGUGGAUUUGCAGGGAGUAAGAGUGAGAGAGAGAGAGUGAGGUGGAUUUGUGGUAACGACAAUGAAUAUCAACGUUUGCACAAGACCAAACUACCCUUACUAAUAUGACUGAAAAGACGAAAUUGACCCUUGAUUUACACAAACUGUAAAUCAGCUUGAUUGACUUGUAUUUCCUCGAUGCAAAGAGGCUUAUUCACUAGUAGAAAAACUUUCAUUUGCGUCACUCGUAGAAACAAGCGAAGCAAAUGAUAUAUUUUAGCUUCAUUAUAAGUUAUUUGCGUCGCACAUUUUCUAUGAAGCGACGCAAAUGCCUGAUAUGCUUCAGCUUUAUGUUAUUUGCGUCACGUUUAUUUAUUAGAACGACGCAAAUAACGGUCUUAUUUGCGUCACUCCUUUUGGAACAAGUGACGCAAAUGAGUUUGAGAGUUAUUUGCGUCACUUCUUUAAUUAAUGAGCGACGCAAAUAGUUAAUUCACCUCAUUAAAUUUAAGUUUUUUGCGUCACUUUUUUAAUUAAUGAGCGACGCAAAUAAGUCUAGGUUAGUAAUAAAUUCUAAUUUUUCCACCCAUCUCCCCAUUUGCUGCUGCCUCCAAAUUCAAUAUACCCACAAAAAAAAUACUCUUGCUAACCCAUUUGUUGUUGCCUUUAACAACUGAAUUCAACAACACAAUUCUUUCAAACCCAGAAAAAUAGAAAGAUCCAAGCCAAAAAUCUCUGAUUUUCGAGCACAAAAUCAAAUCAAAACCCCCAGCAAAAUCGAACACGAAAACCCCCAUACAAAUCGAGCAAACCCCCCCCCCAAUUCGAGCAGAAGUUCGGUGUAUAAACCCCCAGCAAAUUCGAAUGUAAACCCCAGAAUAAUCGAAAAAUUUCCUUUCAAAAACCCCCUAAGUCGAGCAGAAAUUCCAACCUAAACCCCCAACAAUUUCGAACCCUAAAAACCCCAGAAAAAUCGAACAUUUCGAGCAAAAAAAACCCCCCAAUUAGAGAAGAAAUUCGAACCUAAAACCCCAACAAAUUCGAACCCUAAAAACCCAGAAAAAUCAAACAUUUUUUUGCCAAAAACCGCCCAAUUUGAGCAAAUAUUCAUACCUUAACCCUAGAAAAUUCUUACCCUAAAAACCCUAGAAAAAUUAAACAUUUUGGAGCCAAAAACCCCCCAAUUAUUCGAGCAGAAAUUCAAACCUCAACCUCAAGCAGUAAAAUGCCCCAAUUCAAGCUCAAAAUCAGUGCUAAACACCCCAGAAAAUUCAAGCAAAACCCCCUAAAAACUUAUUAUAUUUUACCCCCAUAAACCCUAGAAAUUUCGACCUAAUUAGAGGAAAAGUUCCGUGAAGUUCGACCCAUUGUAGCAGUCAAUUUGUGAAGUCAAUUUCAGCUAAGUUCAACCCAUUGGCUCUUGUUGUUAUGUUAAAUAUUUUCAUGGUAGAUAAAUUUCAGCAUUUAACUUGAACAAGUACUUAGUUUAAUUGCAAAAAUGGUGUUAGUUCAUUAGAAAAUAAUUUUUAGCUUGUUUGGCUUUUGUUGGUUUAAUUAAUAUAUGUAAAUUUAUGUCAGAUUUCUCUACUAUGUGGAAGUGAAUUCCUUAAGUUCCACGAGUUUGUGAUUGUAUACAAACAAUUGAGGCGGUAGUACACAUACGACAUUGUCUUCGCUUGUUGUAUAUACUCUAACCAUUCUCUGUAGUUUUAGCUUAUUUUUUGUGGUUGGUAUAAUGAUUUGUGAAUUUUAUUGGAUUUCUAAUUGUGAUAUAAUUGAUUGAAAUUGCAAUAAUAUUUGCAUCAUAGUGCAUGACCCAAGGUUUAGUGACUUGUUAUUUUAGGAACCGGGCAAUGGAUUAUGCCAUAAUACCAUUAAUUAGAAUGUGUUGGGUCAAUUGGAUUUGCAGUACUUAAUUGACUGUCUAUGAUUGUUAAUUGUAUUUAGGCCCUUGUAAGUUGCAACUAUGUUUCCAUUCAUGAAUCCUGAUUGUAUCCUCGGAUUUGAGGGAGGAUGAUAUGCUUAAGAAGCUUGGAGACCUUGUGAAUGAGAGUCAUUAUAGCCGCAGUGUUCUCUAUGAACGCAGGAUUUUUCAAGAUCUACACCGUAUAAAGAGGAGGAGAUAAACGAGGUUCAAGAUAUUUGGGCAGACUAUUUUAUAUGCUAUGUUGAACUUUAGAUCUACACUUAGCAAACUCCAUUUACUUAUUAGACUCUUGUUUUAUUUGUUAGGCUUGACAUGAAUGUAUUUGGUUUACCAACAAUUUGGGUUGGUAUUGGUGAUUGUAUUGGAUGAUGACCAUAAUGUCAAUGAUAUUGAGUUGUAAAUUUAUUGGACAGGUUUAUAAUAUGCCGCCGUCAUUCCCAAUUUUAUGGGUAGGCCAAAAUACAAAGGAGACUCUGCCGAAAUUUACAUUUGCAUUCAAUAAUAUUGCAUUUUAAUUUCAA